rnacentral:rRNA from 1 species
ACAGCAGUCGCCGCGGGAAUACGUAGGGAGCAAGCGUUAAUCGGAAUUACUGGCCGUAAAGCGUGCGCAGGCGGUUAUAUAAGUCAGAUGUGAAAUCCCCGGGCUCAACCUGGGAACUGCAUUUGAGGCUGUAUGGCUAGAGUGUGUCAGAGGGGGGUAGAAUUCCACGUGUAGCAGUGAAAUGCGUAGAUAUGUGGAGGAAUACCGAUGGUGAAGGCAGCCCCCUGGGAUAACACUGACGCUCAUGCACGAAAGCGUGGGGAGCAAACAGGAUUAGAUACCCCUGUAGUCCCUGUCUCUUAUAC